rnacentral:rRNA from 1 species
UACGUAGGGUGCGAGCGUUGCCCGGAUUUAUUGGGCGUAAAGGGCGCGUAGGCGGCCUGGCGCGUCGGCUGUGAAAUCUCCCGGCUCAACUGGGAGGGGACGGCCGAUACGGCUGGGCUUGAGCGAGGUAGGGGAGAGUGGAAUUUACGGUGUAGCGGUGAAAUGCGUAGAUAUCGUAAGGAGGACCAGUGGCGAAGGCGGGUCUCUGGACAGUUCCUGACGCUGAGGCACGAAAGCGUGGGGAGCGAACAGG